rnacentral:tRNA from 1 species
GGGGAAGUGGUUUAGGGUAUAACGUUUCAUUCGCACUGAAAAGGCCCCGGGUUCGAUUCCCGGCUUCUCCA